CACGGCCCAGACUCCUACGGGAGGCAGCAGUAGGGAAUCUUCCGCAAUGGACGAAAGUCUGACGGAGCAACGCCGCGUGAGUGAUGAAGGUUUUCGGAUCGUAAAACUCUGUUGUUAGGGAAGAACAAGUAUCGUUCGAAUAGGGCGGUACCUUGACGGUACCUAACCAGAAAGCCACGGCUAACUACGUGCCAGCAGCCGCGGUAAUACGUAGGUGGCAAGCGUUGUCCGGAAUUAUUGGGCGUAAAGCGCGCGCAGGCGGUUUCUUAAGUCUGAUGUGAAAUCUUGCGGCUCAACCGCAAGCGGCCAUUGGAAACUGGGAGACUUGAGUGCAGAAGAGGAGAGUGGAAUUCCACGUGUAGCGGUGAAAUGCGUAGAGAUGUGGAGGAACACCAGUGGCGAAGGCGACUCUCUGGUCUGUAACUGACGCUGAGGCGCGAAAGCGUGGGGAGCGAACAGGAUUAGAUACCCUGGUAGUCCACGCCGUAAACGAUGAGUGCUAAGUGUUAGAGG
rnacentral:rRNA from 1 species